rnacentral:misc_RNA from 1 species
CACGUACUGUGCGAACGUUAUCCGGAAUCACUGGGCGUAAAGGGCGCGUAGGCGGUCUAGUAAGUCCGAUGUUAAAGAGCGGGGCUCAACCCCGUCACGGCGUUGGAUACUGCUGGGCUUGACGACUGGAGAGGUGAGUGGAAUUACCAGUGUAGCGGUGGAAUGCGUAGAUACUGGUAGGAACACCCAUUGCGAAGGCAGCUCACUGGACAGUACGUGACGCUGAGGCGCGAAAGUGUGGGGAGCAAACCGG